AUACGGAGGGUGCAAGCGUUAAUCGGAAUUACUGGGCGUAAAGCGCACGCAGGCGGUUUGUUAAGUCAGAUGUGAAAUCCCCGGGCUCAACCUGGGAACUGCAUCUGAUACUGGCAAGCUUGAGUCUCGUAGAGGGGGGUAGAAUUCCAGGUGUAGCGGUGAAAUGCGUAGAGAUCUGGAGGAAUACCGGUGGCGAAGGCGGCCCCCUGAACGAAGACUGACGCUCAGGUGCGAAAGCGUGGGGAGCAAACAGGAUUAGAUACCCUGGUAGUCCACGCCGUAAACGAUGUCGACUUGGAGGGUGUGCCCUUGAGGCGUGGCUUCCGGAGCUAACGCGUUAAGUCGACCGCCUGGGGAGUACGGCCGCAAGGUUAAAACUCAAAUGAAUUGACGGGG
rnacentral:rRNA from 1 species